rnacentral:rRNA from 1 species
UUAUUGAAUGUUACCCGGGAAGUUCUAUAUAAGGGUUUUUUACCGUCAGGACGAACGCUGGCGGCGUGCCUAAUACAUGCAAGUCGAACGCUUCUUUCCUCCCGAGUGCUUGCACUCAAUUGGAAAGAGGAGUGGCGGACGGGUGAGUAACACGUGGGUAACCUACCCAUCAGAGGGGGAUAACACUUGGAAACAGGUGCUAAUACCGCAUAACAGUUUAUGCCGCAUGGCAUAAGAGUGAAAGGCGCUUUCGGGUGUCGCUGAUGGAUGGACCCGCGGUGCAUUAGCUAGUUGGUGAGGUAACGGCUCACCAAGGCCACGAUGCAUAGCCGACCUGAGAGGGUGAUCGGCCACACUGGGACUGAGACACGGCCCAGACUCCUACGGGAGGCAGCAGUAGGGAAUCUUCGGCAAUGGACGAAAGUCUGACCGAGCAACGCCGCGUGAGUGAAGAAGGUUUUCGGAUCGUAAAACUCUGUUGUUAGAGAAGAACAAGGACGUUAGUAACUGAACGUCCCCUGACGGUAUCUAACCAGAAAGCCACGGCUAACUACGUGCCAGCAGCCGCGGUAAUACGUAGGUGGCAAGCGUUGUCCGGAUUUAUUGGGCGUAAAGCGAGCGCAGGCGGUUUCUUAAGUCUGAUGUGAAAGCCCCCGGCUCAACCGGGGAGGGUCAUUGGAAACUGGGAGACUUGAGUGCAGAAGAGGAGAGUGGAAUUCCAUGUGUAGCGGUGAAAUGCGUAGAUAUAUGGAGGAACACCAGUGGCGAAGGCGGCUCUCUGGUCUGUAACUGACGCUGAGGCUCGAAAAGACGG